rnacentral:rRNA from 1 species
UACGGAGGGUGCAAGCGUUAUCCGGAUUCACUGGGUUUAAAGGGUGCGUAGGAGGGCAGGUAAGUCAGUGGUGAAAUCUCCAAGCUUAACUUGGAACUGCCGUUGAUACUAUCUGUCUUGAAUACCGUGGAGGUGAGCGGAAUAUGUCAUGUAGCGGUGAAAUGCUUAGAUAUGAACAUAGUAACACCAAUUGCGAAGGCAGCUGGCUACACAAAUAUUGACACUGAUGCACGAAAGCGUGGGGAUCAAACAGGA